rnacentral:rRNA from 1 species
GACGAACGCUGGCGGCGUGCCUAAUACAUGCAAGUAGAACGCACAGUUUAUACCGUAGCUUGCUACACCAUAGACUGUGAGUUGCGAACGGGUGAGUAACGCGUAGGUAACCUGCCUGGUAGCGGGGGAUAACUAUUGGAAACGAUAGCUAAUACCGCACAAUAUUAAUUAUUGCAUGAUAAUUAAUUGAAAGGUGCAAUUGCACCACUACCAGAUGGACCUGCGUUGUAUUAGCUAGUAGGUGAGGUAACGGCUCACCUAGGCGACGAUACAUAGCCGACCUGAGAGGGUGAUCGGCCACACUGGGACUGAGACACGGCCCAGACUCCUACGGGAGGCAGCAGUAGGGAAUCUUCGGCAAUGGACGAAAGUCUGACCGAGCAACGCCGCGUGAGUGAAGAAGGUUUUCGGAUCGUAAAGCUCUGUUGUAAGAGAAGAACGGGUGUGAGAGUGGAAAGUUCACACUGUGACGGUAUCUUACCAGAAAGGGACGGCUAACUACGUG